GUGCCAGCCGCCGCGGUAAUACAGAGGGGGCGAGCGUUGUUCGGAAUUACUGGGCGUAAAGGGCGCGUAGGCGGCCACCUCAGUCGGACGUGAAAUCCCCGGGCUCAACCCGGGAACUGCGUCCGAUACUGGGUGGCUAGAGUCCGGGAGAGGGAAGUGGAAUUCCAGGUGUAGCGGUGAAAUGCGUAGAUAUCUGGAGGAACACCGGUGGCGAAGGCGGCUUCCUGGACCGGUACUGACGCUGAGGCGCGAAAGCCAGGGGAGCAAACGGGAUUAGAAACCCCCGUAGUCC
rnacentral:rRNA from 1 species